rnacentral:misc_RNA from 1 species
AAGUCGUAACAAGGUUUCCGUAGGUGAACCUGCGGAAGGAUCAUUAUCACGUAUCCAAACGUAUCAACCAUUGUGAACUGUACUUGACCUAUAGAAUGAAAAAGAGGUAGUGUUAAUUUUAACAUUUAUGAAUAACGUUUUAUUGUUGAUUUGAGUUAUUCGUUAUUAUUAACCAAUGGUAGAAAUACUAUACUCUUUUUCUCUGUAGUGUAUUUUUCAAAUCACUUUACUCAUUAACAAUUUAAAUUUACAAAACAAAUUAUCAUUUUGAACUGAUUUAAUUUCUUUUCUCUUUUGGUUAUUCAUUUAAUUUAAAAGAGACUGAAAUAAUAUUACGAAACAUAAGAACAACUCUUAGCAACGGAUAUCUUGGUUCUC